rnacentral:rRNA from 1 species
UACGUAGGGGGCAAGCGUUGUCCGGAUUUAUUGGGCGUAAAGAGCGUGUAGGCGGCCUGACAGGUCUGCUGUGAAAACUCGAGGCUCAACCUCGAUAUGUCGGCGGAAACCGUCUGGCUAGAGUCCGGAAGAGGAGAGUGGAAUUCCUGGUGUAGCGGUGAAAUGCGCAGAUAUCAGGAAGAACACCUAUGGCGAAGGCAGCUCUCUGGGACGGUACUGACGCUGAGGAGCGAAAGCGUGGGGAGCGAACAGG